rnacentral:tRNA from 1 species
GCCUGGGUGGCUCAGUCGGUGAAGCGUCCGACUUCAGCCCGGGUCACGAUCUCGCGGUCCGUGGGUUCGAGCCCCGCGUCGGGCU